rnacentral:rRNA from 1 species
UACGGAGGGUGCAAACGUUGCUCGGAAUCAUUGGGCGUAAAGCGCACGUAGGCGGUCCGGUAAGUCCGCUGUGAAAGUCGGGGGCUCAACCCUCGAAUGCCGGUGGAUACUGUCGGGCUAGAGUGCGGAAGAGGCGAGUGGAAUUCCUGGUGUAGCGGUGAAAUGCGUAGAUAUCGGGAGGAACACCGGUGGCGAAGGCGGCCCCCUGGUUGGAUACUGACGCUGAGACGCGAAAGCGUGGGGAGCAAACAGG